rnacentral:lncRNA from 1 species
AUGCACGCGCCAGCCCUGCUCCGCGGCUUCAAAACCACGUCCACCGCRAGCAGCCCCCAGGCCGCGAUGCGCCUUGCUCUGGGGUGCAGCACACGGCCAGGGGCAGCGCGAGGUGCCCUCGGCCCCCGUCGCGCCUCCCUGCACGAGCAGACCGUCCCCGCGCCCCCGCCGCAGCGCGGUGGGCACCCGCUUGGGCAAAGCGACACCCYGGCAAACCGCCCCCAACACCGGUGCCGCGGCACCCUGCCCAAGCCCCGAGCUGGGGGCGCCCGUCCUUGGCCCCGUGCCCGCGGGCAGCACCAGGGGCGCGAGGAAGAGCCGUGCCGCGGCGAUCCCAGCGACGCCAGCCCUUGGCCAACAAGCCCAGCUUUGCCGCGAGAGGGGCUCUGGGCUUGGCAUCGCCCGUCCGACAGACGCUUCCCGAAUCGCCCCCUUACCUGGGCCGGGGCGGCCGUGCUGUCGGGGUCCCGYGGCAGGGCCGGUCCGUGCCCUGGGGCCCCCGCAAGCCUGGCGCGGUGCGGCGGCGACGCGGAGGCGGAGCGGCGCGCGAGGUGGCACGGGGUCAGAGCUUCACCGGCGCAGCCAUCAGGGCUGGCCGGGCUGCGCCUCCGGCUGGCCAGGCUGUGCCUCCGGCUGGCCGCAGGGUCGCCCUGGGGGACAGCGAGGAAGGAGAGGUCAGGCUGGGAUCCCGCUGGAGAUGGAGAUGUCACCCCACGCCCUGCCCGGGCGGCCGAAAGAGCCGACGGCGGCCCCGGGAAGGAGCUGGGCUCUGGCAUUUGCCCCUGCCCGGCUCGGACCUCCCCACCACCCCGCGUCAGGCUGGGUGGUCCCGACGGCUCAGAGACACAGCCGGCAGCUCCCGGCACCGCGCGACCCCGGCUGGGACCUGGGGGUGCACCGGGUGCUGCCRGGCAGAUGGUGCCCCAAGAAGCCCCACGUCUGCCCCACACGGAGCAACGCGGGAAGUUCAGCUGGCGGGAAGGGAGUCCCGGAGAGAGCAGGGCACACAGGGGGUCUCCCCGCCUGCACAGCGGCCAAGACCCAUCCCAUGGGGCCCGUGGUGGCACCGUGCCCAUGGGCUGCCCGAGGUGA